AGGGUUUGAUCAUGGCUCAGGAUGAACGCUAGCGGCAGGCCUAACACAUGCAAGUCGAGGGGUAGAGUUCUUCGGGACUUGAGACCGGCGCACGGGUGCGUAACGCGUAUGCAAUCUACCUUAUACAGGGGAAUAGCCCAGAGAAAUUUGGAUUAAUGCCCCAUAGUGUUAUCGAAUCGCAUGGUUUGAUAACUAAAGUUCCAACGGUAUAAGAUGAGCAUGCGUCCCAUUAGUUAGUUGGUAAGGUAACGGCUUACCAAGACAAUGAUGGGUAGGGGUCCUGAGAGGGAGAUCCCCCACACUGGUACUGAGACACGGACCAGACUCCUACGGGAGGCAGCAGUGAGGGAAUAUUGGUCAAUGGGCGCAAGCCUGAACCAGCCAUGCCGCGUGCAGGAAGAAGCAUCUAUGGUGUGUAAACUGCUUUUAUACAGGAAGAAACAACUCUACGUGUAGAGUCUUGACGGUACUGUAGGAAUAAGGAUCGGCUAACUCCGUGCCAGCAGCCGCGGUAAUACGGAGGAUCCAAGCGUUAUCCGGAAUCCUUGGGUUUAAAGGGUCC
rnacentral:rRNA from 1 species